UGCAAGUCGUACGCUUCUUUUUCCACCGGAGCUUGCUCCACCGGAAAAAGAAGAGUGGCGAACGGGUGAGUAACACGUGGGUAACCUGCCCAUCAGAAGGGGAUAACACUUGGAAACAGGUGCUAAUACCGUAUAACAAUCGAAACCGCAUGGUUUUGAUUUGAAAGGCGCUUUCGGGUGUCGCUGAUGGAUGGACCCGCGGUGCAUUAGCUAGUUGGUGAGGUAACGGCUCACCAAGGCCACGAUGCAUAGCCGACCUGAGAGGGUGAUCGGCCACAUUGGGACUGAGACACGGCCCAAACUCCUACGGGAGGCAGCAGUAGGGAAUCUUCGGCAAUGGACGAAAGUCUGACCGAGCAACGCCGCGUGAGUGAAGAAGGUUUUCGGAUCGUAAAACUCUGUUGUUAGAGAAGAACAAGGAUGAGAGUAACUGUUCAUCCCUUGACGGUAUCUAACCAGAAAGCCACGGCUAACUACGUGCCAGCAGCCGCGGUAAUACGUAGGUGGCAAGCGUUGUCCGGAUUUAUUGGGCGUAAAGCGAGCGCAGGCGGUUUCUUAAGUCUGAUGUGAAAGCCCCCGGCUCAACCGGGGAGGGUCAUUGGAAACUGGGAGACUUGAGUGCAGAAGAGGAGAGUGGAAUUCCAUGUGUAGCGGUGAAAUGCGUAGAUAUAUGGAGGAACACCAGUGGCGAAGGCGGCUCUCUGGUCUGUAACUGACGCUGAGGCUCGAAAGCGUGGGGAGCAAACAGGAUUAGAUACCCUGGUAGUCCACGCCGUAAACGAUGAGUGCUAAGUGUUGGAGGGUUUCCGCCCUUCAGUGCUGCAGCUAACGCAUUAAGCACUCCGCCUGGGGAGUACGACCGCAAGGUUG
rnacentral:rRNA from 1 species